CAACCACCAUAAAAAAGAGGAAGAAGAAGAAAUAGAAGGAAGUGCUGAAACGAAUAAUAAACGUGAUUUUGUGGCGAGUGUAUUUUUCAGAGCUCCAGUUUCUAACUCAAGCUGUUCAUGAGAUUUGCGUCUUCUAUAACCAAUCAGCGUCAUUGGCCGGGCAGGUACAGAGCAGAAUGUCUGCAGGUAAAUCCAAACACUCCUCCAUGUGAUCAUUUUGACUGCUUUGCCACAUGAUUAUCCUGCGGAUGAUGUGACUGAGUGAUGUGACAAAGUGUAGCGGUGUGAUACUUGAGAGCAGCCAAGUCAUCUUCGGACAGCUGUGCUGUCAUCAGGGUCACACCUGGAGCAGCGGCACAGAGCGCUUCUGAUUCCAGGCACACAGGACGGCAGCCGGUCCUGAGCCUCACAGACGAGCCUGAGACUCUCAUUUCGUUUAAAACAGAAAAUGUGUUAGUAAUGAGGUCUGAGCUGCUAGUUUCCAUUUUACAAAAUCCCUCAGAGAAGCUGGAGGUUCUUCCAUUUUCCAGUCAUUUUAAAACCCAACUUCACACAUUAUCAGACUGACAAUUAAAGACGAAGGAACAUUGAAAAUGACCUUUGGAAAUGUCCUUGUGGCAGCUGAACUGCCUCUGAAGCAUGAAACAGAAGUUAAUUCUGCUGCCCACACACACCCUGCUGACCAAACAUUGGGUGGCGUGAAGGUGAGCCAUCUGCAUUCCUGCAGCCCUGCAGGGUCUGCAGACAGAGCCGGAGCAUCAGGAGGAGCUUUCCCUCUGCCGUAUCACUCACCGCCCAGUGGGCUCGUUUUGAAACGCUCUGGCUAUAAAUACGUACUUCAAGACUCAAACAGCAGAAGGUUAAACAAAAUUUGUUUUUUGUUGUUGUGCUUUUGAGAGAAAGCUGAAGUGGAGGAUGAUGGAUGGUUUGGGAUAUGUUGGGUGAAAGCAGAGAAUGUCGGCCUGUUUUACCCGUCACUCAGUGACUUUAUUCUCAGAGCUUUAAAAACCAAAAGCACUGCAGGAGUGAAGAGCUCAGCCAGCUUAAAACGCUCCAUAGAGGAUUCCUCUGAAAAGCUCAAAUUAUUUCUGACAAACUAAAGAAAACAGUGAUUUUUUAUUUUUUUUUUACCAAAGGUUUGGACCUCUGGUAAAAGUUUCUGUUGCCAAUAUUUAUAGAUUUGAAUUCAGUUUUUUCUUUUUUUGUUUGUGACAUUUAAAAAAAAAAAGGUUUUUGUGGGAAAUGGACUUGAAUCAAACCACAUUGGCUGCGUUUCCAUUCUGCCAAAAUUGGAAUUACAGAAUUAAAUUUGCUUAAUGCAAAUGCCAAAUUAAAAAAAAUUAA